UUUGUACUCCCUCCGUUUCAUAAUUCUUGUCUCAAAUUUGUCUAAAUAUGGACGUAUCUAUUCGUAAAAAACGUCUAGAUACAUAUAAUAUUUCGACAAGAAUUAUGGAACGGAGGUAGUAUUGU
rfam:Brachypodium distachyon strain Bd21 chromosome 3, whole genome shotgun sequence.